CUAAAGGAGUUACAAAAGAGAGUCAGCCAGGUUUUUGUGUUGAAGAUGAUUUUUUUUUUAUUGCAAAUGUACGUGUUACACUACUGGUAAUAUACAGAAAUUUAAAAAGCUACUGUUUCAUGAUUACAAAACUUCACAAAAUUUGUUACAACUAAAAAAAUCCACCUUCAAGAGUAUAUAAAUAGAAUUUUGAGCAUAAAUAAUAGUAACAAAAUAAACAGAUGUAUGCAUUCAAUAAAUUAAUUAUAAAUAUUGCAUUGGCAAUGAAGUGCUAGGUCAGAAGAAGGCUAGUAUUUCCAGUAGAGUUUUUUUGGUAUAGAAAUCUCUAUUAUAAACGAACCUUUGGAAAGGAGUAAAAUCCCUGAACCCUUUUCUCACAUUCCUUUUUGGGAGGAGUUUCAGGUUUGUUAUUCCUUUGUCAAAUUGUUGCAACAGGAGAACUGAACUGAAGGUAUCAGACAUGCACCUCUUGGCCAUAAGGUACCCACAGUCUUUCCCUGAAAGGUGAAUGGUAUGACUGACCCACUUCUGCAGUAUUCAAGUAACUAAACUGUCUCUCCAUUGAUUUCAGCUGAUGCAGAAUCAAGCCUGGAAGGCCUUAAAGGAACUGCUGAUGUUGGAAGGAGCGAUUCCCUCAGGACAGGGCAGAUGGACUGCUUGCACUUAGCUGCUCGUGUGAGCAAAUGCAGAAGGUAACUCUGCAGCCCA
rnacentral:lncRNA from 1 species